rnacentral:lncRNA from 1 species
UUUUUCGUGUAUAAAUAGAAUAGAAUGCAAGGGAAGAGGGGAAAAUUACCCGAGCUAGCUACACUUAAUAUAUAAUUUCACAGUUGAGAGCAGAGUAUACAUUAAAGAUGAUGCAGAAGCAGACGUUGGCGAUAGCUCUGGCGUGGCUCCUGGUUGCGUCGUCAAUCAUGAUGUGCGAGUACGCAGCUGCAGACACUACUCCAUUGAAAACUGCUGACCAAGUUCUCCAUCCCCUAGCAGGUAAGAACCAACAUCCGAUCCUUUUGCUUUCGCAUCUGAUAUUCUGCAUGCAUAGUAUAUAUAUAUAUAUAUAUAUAUAUAUAUAUAUAUAUAUCUUGAAUGCAUGCAUGCAUGUGCAUUUACGUAAUAUAUAGUAAUUUAGAGUGUAUAUAUAUAUAUAUAGAGAGAGAGAGAGAACUAACUAUAUAUGCUUGCUAAUGGAUACAAUAUACACUACUUGAAGGUUGUCGCUGCUGCAACUUCAUUCGUGUGAAAGGGUUUAUCCAAUGCGGAACAGUUUGUUGUGUGGAUGGAUGUUGCGGUCGCAAGUGAAGCACCUGCAAUGCAGCUACACAGACAAUAAUAUGAAUCAUGGUGGUGGUGUUGCACAAUAAGAUGAAUAAUGGUGGUCAAAAGUUGCAACAUCGCUGAAGCAAUCAAAGCCCCCCUUAUAGAUUUCCCUGUUUGUUUGUUUUGCAUUCCUAUCGAGUUAUAUAAUGUUUGUCGAAAAGAUCCUGUUUAAUGAAAAAUUAAUGUCUGGAAAUCUGGGUGUUUCAGCAGGAUUUCUUUACGUUGAUGUAUCAUGUAUGUAUGUCUACAUGAGGAUAUAUCUAUCUAUAUAAAAGCGAUCGACUCGUUAAUCUAAAAGUAUCAUUCAUUUCAAGAGUUUGAUUCACAAUCUGUCAUGCCUACUAAUUUCAAGGAACAACUAGAUGAACUGCUGACACAAGAAAAACUGUUUAUGCUCCAUACCAACCCAAACAUACAAAACUGCACCUUUUUAUAGUCAUUUCAUGAUACUUACUUACCAUAUGAAUACAGAGUAUAAAACCCCCUUUUUUUGGAAUACAAAGUUUAAAAAUAGAUCAAUCAUUCUCAAUGGGAUCGAUUCUUAUUUGCAUUAAUUAAUACAUAAAUAUUUUUUGCAGUAAGAUUUUCUUCAGGGACAGAGCCAGAAUUUGUUCUUUGGAGGGACCAAAAAUUUUUUUAACAUCAUAAAAUAUAUUCAUUACUAAAAAGUAAAAUUUCACUAUUACAAAACAUAUUUUUACUAAAACAAAAAUAAUAUAUUAAUAGAAUUUGCUUUGACAAAGAUAAUGAAACAUAGAAAAAAAAAGUAUUUUAAAACAUAUCAAAACUUCGUCAAAACUUGGGGAGCUAUAGUCUUGCACAAUUUUCAAAACAAACUAAAUGUACAAGUGAAUUUUAUAAAUUUUCAAACUUUGGGGUGAAUCUUACUGUUAACACCAAGAUCUUCUGUCACGUCCCAAUCACGUAAGACAUUCUGAUCAUGCACAAUAAACACAGUCAACACCAAAAGCUUGACGGCUUGACCGUCGGGGGAUAGCUCCGGCGUGAGAGUCAGUACAGACGAUCACAAGGUUAACAAUGACGGAAUAAAUAUCUAGUGACUUAAGAGCAAUAAUUAAUUAGUUACCUUUCACCGUGUGUCAUCCUUGCUUUAUAUCCCCAAAGUCCGGUUUGUCAUGUAUGCAACUGACUUUUCGGGCCCACCGUUUUUAGCCAACUAAGCCCUGUCCAAUCCUCAUUAAAUGCAAUGCAGAGAUGAUAGUCAAAGUUCUAUCCCCAAUCUACACCGGUCAAAGCCCAAGUGGAACCAUACUCAUCUAGUAAUUCGGCCCACUGUCACAGCCCAAUAUUUCAUAAGCCCCAAAAUAAAGAUAAUAUCCACCCAAUGGGUUAGCCCAAUGAACCGGCCUAAUACUUUCAAGACCCACCUCAACAUGUUUAAAGUAUUAUGGCCCAACACUUACAAAAAUUUCAAACCUUAGGGGGGCCGUGGCCCCCUCCAACCUCCAUGUAGCUCCGUCCCUGAUUUUCUUUUUGGUUGCCUGUGACAUCACACCAUGGGAUCGACAUUCUUCUCAUCAUUAUACUUUUUGUUGACCGUGUAUAAUUGCACGUAUUUACUGAUUGCGAAAUUGGACAACAAGAUUUAUAAAAGGCAAGCAAAUUCAAUCCAAUAGUAACGAUCAAGAUUAAAAAAAGUUGAAUUGUUCUCAAACUCACAAGAGAUCUACUGUACGAUAUAGAACAACAUGUUCUGUUGCUAAGUCUUUCAUUACUAACUUCAAGCUACUUAGCAACACCCCAAAUCACACUAUCUCUUAGUGAUUGUUUAGGUCUUAGUGAUCCAUUGUAUCCAAGUCUUAGUGACUUGAAGAGUUCUUAGUGAUCUACUGUAUGUAAGUGUUUGUGACUUGAAGAAAUUUUAGUGAUUUAUUGAGUGCAACUAUUAUAUGUGAACAUCUGUGUGAUCAGUCAUCCUUAGUGAAAAAGUAGAAGAGUGAACUAUAAAACCUUUGUAUUCUGAAUCAUUUAAAAUUUGUGUGUCCCCUUUAUAUUCUGCACUUACUUUUCUGUCAACUUCUUUAAUUUGUUUGAGAUUUAAUUCCAAUUGAUUGCUAAAUUCAAAAUUACAAAUUCUUUCAAAUUUUUGAAGGGAUUUUUCAAAUUAUUAUUCCGCAAUGCAUAAUUAUAAAUUAAUCUGCUUAAUUUAUAAAUCGGUAAUAAUUUCUUUUAAAAAAAUUUAAAAUCUAUUUAACCCACCUCUAAAUCUCUUGGUGCAUUUGGAAUAUAACAAAAACUUUGACACUUCCUGUGGGUUCUAUCCAGUGGAAAGAUAAUCACAAAAAUUUCUCUAGUCAAAGGGCAGAUAUGUAAAACGAAAGGGCCUACCUUACCCACUUUUAAGUCGCAAGUAAAUUGCCUUAAAUAUUUAAUAACUUGCAAAAGUGACUCCAAUAGAAAGAUUUCUAUCUAUCAAUCUGGCAAACGUGGAAUUCACUACUGAGGAGUAAUGGGAAAUGGACUCGAGUCAUGGGAAACGUGGAAUUCCAAAUGGAUGAUUUCAUUUAUUUUAAAUUAUUUAUCGUUUUAUAUAAUUUACAAGAAUUAAUUACAAUUUUUUUUAAAAUUACUUCUCAUAAAAAAUUGUUAUAGAUGUGAAAUAAAUAUGAUAAUAAAUGAGAAUUUAAACGUAUUAUAAAUAUUUGAUAUUAUAUUUAAUCAUUUAUUUAAUUCUUGUACACAACUUUAAAACAUCAGAAAGGGGACCAUGCUCGUGAGUUUUUUCACUUCAAUUACCAAGAGAAACCAAUUAGGAAAUGACCGACAAGCAGGCCUAUGGAAUAUCUUUAAAAUAUGAGUAAUGCUACAAACACAAACUAUUUUACAAAUAUUUUACAAACUGCUGAUGUGGCAUACUCCACAUCACCAUAUUGAUUAACGACUUGUUUAAAUAUAGUCUUCGGCCCCACACAAUAUGCUGAGAUGGAAUACUUUGUGUCUUUAGCAUUAUUCUUAAAAUAUUAUUCGACUAUAAAUAAAAUAAAAUAAAAUAAAAACACAACAACUUGAACGUACGUCAAGACAAGACAAUAGUCAAGGACUUAUUGAUUCUUGUUUUGUGGAAGAAUAUAAGUACACUUGGGUGAACAACACCCAAGCUAUUGAUAUUGAAUGUGAAUGUAAAUCAAGUUGCGGCCUAACAUGGACAAAUGAGUAAUGGCUGAUUGACCAGCUGGAAAUUAAGAAUCGCUCUCCUCAAUCUCCUAUUUGCUUUAUAAAUAGAAUGCAAGAGAAGAGGGGAAAAUUAUAUACCCGAGCUAGCUAGCUACACUUGAUAAUUUCACAGUUGAGAGUAGAGUAUACAUUAAAGAUGAUGCAGAAGCAGACGUUGGCGAUAGCUCUGGUGUGGCUCCUGGUUGCGUCGUCAAUCAUGAUGUGCGUGUUCGCAGCUGCAGACACUACUCCAUUGAAAACUGCUGACCAAGUUCUCCAUCCCCUAGCAGGUAAGAACCAACAUCCGAUCCUUUUGCUUUCGCAUCUGUUCUACAAAUUAAUAUUAAUCUGCAUGCAUACUAACUAUAUAUGCUUGCUAAUGGAUACAUAUAUAUACACUACUUGAAGGUUGUCGCUGCUGCAACUACAUUAAAGUGAGAGAGUUUUUCAAUUGCAACAAAGUUUGUUGUGUGGAUGGAUGUUGCGGUCGCAAGUGAAGCACCUGCAAUGAAGCUACACAGACAAUUAUAUAUAAUAUGAAUCAUGGUUGUGUAGUUGCACAAUAAGAUGAAUAAUGGUGGUCAAAAGUUGCAACAUCUCUGAAGCAAUUAAUCAACCNNNNNNNNNN